rnacentral:rRNA from 1 species
CGGGUGAGUAACACGUGACUAACCUACCUUCGAGUGGGGGAUAACCUCGGGAAACCGGGGCUAAUACCGCAUAAUGCCUUCGGGUUAAAGGAGCAAUUCGCUUGAAGAGGGGGUCGCGGCUGAUUAGCUAGUUGGCGGGGUAACGGCCCACCAAGGCGAUGAUCGGUAGCCGGCCUGAGAGGGCGCACGGCCACACUGGAACUGAAACACGGUCCAGACUCCUACGGGAGGCAGCAGUGGGGAAUUUUGCGCAAUGGGGGAAACCCUGACGCAGCAACGCCGCGUGGAGGAUGAAGUCCCUUGGGACGUAAACUCCAUUCGACCGGGACGAUAAUGACGGUACCUGGUGGAAGAA